GACGAACGCUGGCGGCGUGCUUAACACAUGCAAGUCGAACGGAAAGGCCCUGCUUUUGUGGGCUGCUCGAGUGGCACACGGGUGAGUAACACGUGAGUAACCUGCCCUUGACUUUGGGAUAACUUCAGGAAACUGGGGCUAAUACCGGAUAGCAGCUCCUGCUGCAUGGUGGGGGUUGGAAAGUUUCGGCGGUUGGGGAUGGACUCGCGGCUUAUCAGCUUGUUGGUGGGGUAGUGGCUUACCCAGGGUUUGACGGGUAGCCGGCCUGAGAGGGUGACCGGGCACAUGGGGACUGAGAUACGGCCCAGACGCCUACGGGAGGCAGCAGUGGGGAAUAUUGCACAAUGGGCGGAAGCCUGAUGCAGCAACGCCGCGGGCGGGAUGACGGCUUGCGGGGGGUAAACCGCUUUCGCCUGUGACGAAGCGUGAGUGACGGUAAUGGGUAAAGAAGCACCGGCUAACUACGUG
rnacentral:rRNA from 1 species